rnacentral:rRNA from 1 species
UAACGCGAAGAACCUUACCUGGUCUUGACAUCCACAGAACUUUCCAGAGAUGGAUUGGUGCCUUCGGGAACUGUGAGACAGGUGCUGCAUGGCUGUCGUCAGCUCGUGUUGUGAAAUGUUGGGUUAAGUCCCGCAACGAGCGCAACCCUUAUCUUUUGUUGCCAGCGGUCCGGCCGGGAACUCAAAGGAGACUGCCAGUGAUAAACUGGAGGAAGGUGGGGAUGACGUCAAGUCAUCAUGGCCCUUACGACCAGGGCUACACACGUGCUACAAUGGCGCAUACAAAGAGAAGCGACCUCGCGAGAGCAAGCGGACCUCAUAAAGUGCGUCGUAGUCCGGAUUGGAGUCUGCAACUCGACUCCAUGAAGUCGGAAUCGCUAGUAAUCGUGGAUCAGAAUGCCACGGUGAAUACGUUCCCGGGCCUUGUACACACCG